CGACCUCAGAGCAGGCGAGACUACCCGCUGAAUUUAAGCAUAUUACUAAGCGGAGGAAAAGAAACUAACAAGGAUUCCCCCAGUAGCGGCGAGCGAACAGGGAAGAGUCCAGCACCGAACCCCGCAGGCUGCCGCCUGUCGUGGCAUGUGGUGUUUGGGAGGGUCCACUACCCCGACGCCUCGCGCCGAGCCCAAGUCCAACUUGAAUGAGGCCACGGCCCGUAGAGGGUGCCAGGCCCGUAGCGGCCGGUGCGAGCGUCGGCGGGACCUCUCCUUCGAGUCGGGUUGCUUGAGAGUGCAGCUCCAAGUGGGUGGUAAACUCCAUCUGAGACUAAAUAUGACCACGAGACCGAUAGCGAACAAGUACCGUGAGGGAAAGUUGAAAAGAACUUUGAAGAGAGAGUUCAAAAGUACGUGAAACCGUUCUGGGGUAAACGUGAGAAGUCCGAAAGGUCGAACGGGUGAGAUUCACGCCCAUCCGGCCACUGGCCUCCGCCCUCGGCAGAUGGGGCCGGCCGCCCGCGCGGAGCAAUCCGCGGCGGGGUCGUGUCCGGUUGCCUUUCCACUCGCCGCGGGGUGGGGCCGUUCCGGUGUGCGGUGGGCCGCACUUCUCCCCUAGUAGGACGUCGCGACCCGCUGGGUGCCGGCCUACGGCCCGGGUGCGCAGCCUGUCCUUCCGCGGGCCUCGGUUCGCGUCUGUUGGGCAGAGCCCCGGUGUCCUGGCUGGCUGCCCGGCGGUAUAUCUGGAGGAGUCGAUUCGCCCCUUUGGGCGCUCGGGCUCCCGGCAAGCGCGCGCGGUUCUUCCCGGAUGACGGACCUACCUGGCCCGGCCCCGGACCCGCGCCGCUGUUGGCUCGGGAUGCUCUCGGGCGGAAUAAUCGCUCCCGUCAGCGGCGCUUCAGCUUUGGACAAUUUCACGACCCGUCUUGAAACACGGACCAAGGAGUCUAACAUGUGCGCGAGUCAUUGGGCUGUACGAAACCUAAAGGCGUAAUGAAAGUGAAGGUCUCGCCUUGCGCGGGCCGAGGGAGGAUGGGGCUUCCCCGCCCUUCACGGGGCGGCGGCCUCCGCACUCCCGGGGCGUCUCGUCCUCAUUGCGAGGUGAGGCGCACCUAGAGCGUACACGUUGGGACCCGAAAGAUGGUGAACUAUGCCUGGCCAGGACGAAGUCAGGGGAAACCCUGAUGGAGGUCCGUAGCGAUUCUGACGUGCAAAUCGAUCGUCGGAGCUGGGUAUAGGGGCGAAAGACUAAUCGAACCAUCUAGUAGCUGGUUCCCUCCGAAGUUUCCCUCAGGAUAGCUGGUGCUCGUACGAGUCUCAUCCGGUAAAGCGAAUGAUUAGAGGCCUUGGGGCCGAAACGACCUCAACCUAUUCUCAAACUUUAAAUGGGUGAGAUCUCCGGCUUGCUUGAUAUGCUGAAGCCGCGAGCAAACGACUCGGAUCGGAGUGCCAAGUGGGCCACUUUUGGUAAGCAGAACUGGCGCUGUGGGAUGAACCAAACGCCGAGUUAAGGCGCCCGAAUCGACGCUCAUGGGAAACCAUGAAAGGCGUUGGUUGCUUAAGACAGCAGGACGGUGGCCAUGGAAGUCGGAAUCCGCUAAGGAGUGUGUAACAACUCACCUGCCGAAGCAACUAGCCCUGAAAAUGGAUGGCGCUGAAGCGUCGUGCCUAUACUCGGCCGUCAGUCUGGCAGUCAUGGCCGGUCCUUGCGGCCGGCCGCGAAGCCCUGACGAGUAGGAGGGUCGCGGCGGUGGGCGCAGAAGGGUCUGGGCGUGAGCCUGCCUGGAGCCGCCGUCGGUGCAGAUCUUGGUGGUAGUAGCAAAUACUCCAGCGAGGCCCUGGAGGGCUGACGCGGAGAAGGGUUUCGUGUGAACAGCCGUUGCACACGAGUCAGUCGAUCCUAAGCCCUAGGAGAAAUCCGAUGUUGAUGGGGGCCGUCAUAGCAUGAUGCGCUUUGUGCUGGCCCCCGUUGGGCGAAAGGGAAUCCGGUUCCUAUUCCGGAACCCGGCAGCGGAACCGAUACAAGUCGGGCCCCUCUUUUAGAGAUGCUCGUCGGGGUAACCCAAAAGGACCCGGAGACGCCGUCGGGAGAUCGGGGAAGAGUUUUCUUUUCUGCAUGAGCGUUCGAGUUCCCUGGAAUCCUCUAGCAGGGAGAUAGGGUUUGGAACGCGAAGAGCACCGCAGUUGCGGCGGUGUCCCGAUCUUCCCCUCGGACCUUGAAAAUCCGGGAGAGGGCCACGUGGAGGUGUCGCGCCGGUUCGUACCCAUAUCCGCAGCAGGUCUCCAAGGUGAAGAGCCUCUAGUCGAUAGAAUAAUGUAGGUAAGGGAAGUCGGCAAAUUGGAUCCGUAACUUCGGGAUAAGGAUUGGCUCUGAGGAUCGGGGCGUGUCGGGCUUGGUCGGGAAGUGGGUCAGCGCUAACGUGCCGGGCCUGGGCGAGGUGAGUGCCGUAGGGGUGCCGGUAAGUGCGGGCGUUUAGCGCGGGCGUGGUCUGCUCUCGCCGUUGGUCGGCCUCGUGCUGGCCGGCGGUGCAGGAUGCGCGCGCCUGCGCGGCGUUCGCGCCCCGGUGCUUCAACCUGCGUGCAGGAUCCGAGCUCGGUCCCGUGCCUUGGCCUCCCACGGAUCUUCCUUGCUGCGAGGCCGCGUCCGCCUUAGCGUGCUCCUCCGGGGGCGCGCGGGUGCGCGGAUUCUCUUCGGCCGCCAUUCAACGAUCAACUCAGAACUGGCACGGACUGGGGGAAUCCGACUGUCUAAUUAAAACAAAGCAUUGCGAUGGCCCUAGCGGGUGUUGACGCAAUGUGAUUUCUGCCCAGUGCUCUGAAUGUCAACGUGAAGAAAUUCAAGCAAGCGCGGGUAAACGGCGGGAGUAACUAUGACUCUCUGCGCCGCCGACGCAGAAGCGCAAGCGGCGCCGCUGGGAGUACGCGAGAACGCAGGAUGCCUUCCGACGGUCGCGUGCACGUUGCGUGCGCGGCCUCUUGGAUGGCACCCUGCUCCAGCCGCCACCUGCCAUCCCUGGUCUGCUGGACUUCUGGGCGGACCUCUUCACCAAGAAGCCCAUCUCCACCGCGGGCUUCAUUCGUGACCGCCUCCUCCCGCACUCAGAGCCUGUCGCUCUUGAGUGCAUAUGGGGGCCGGUCACACAUGAGGAGGUCGCCGCCGCGUUGCCGCCCAGGGGAUCAGCAGCCGGGCCGGACGGCCUUACCCCAGCGGAGUUGCGGCGCCUGCCGCACGAAGUCCUGGUGAAAGUGAUGAAUCUCUUCCUUCUGGCCCGCGCCCUUCCGGAACGCCUGCUUCGCGCGCGGACGUCCCUUCUCCCGAAAACGGCUGCACCAACAUCCCCCGCUGACUUUCGCCCCAUUACGGUCUGCUCGGUGUUGGCGCGGACCUUUCACAAGGUUCUCGCGUCACGCCUGAUGCGCGCAUGUGCUGUGGACGAACGUCAGCGGGCAUUCAUCCCUCGGGAUGGGAUGUUGGAAAAUACCUUCAUCUUGGACACUGCUCUCACCGACGCAGUUCGCUCCUGCCGCUCUGUCUUUGUGGCGUCGAUCGACGUAUCUAAGGCAUUCGAUUCGGUAGAUCAUGCUGCCCUUCGCCCCGUGCUGAAGGCGCAUGGCCUGCCGGAUUGCUUUGUCGAGUAUGUCGAGCGGUGCUACGAGGGCAGCACGACAGUGAUAGUGGACGGCGCCGGCGUGGGCGUGUCUGUGCAGCCAGCACGGGGCGUUCGCCAGGGCGAUCCCCUCUCCCCCCUCCUGUUCAACUUUGCGGUGGACUACGUUUUAGGCCAACUGCCCUCCCACAUCGGAGCUCGGAUCCUCGGUCGCAGAGUCAACGCUGCGGCCUUUGCAGAUGACGUCUUGCUGUUUGCAGCGACCCCGAGGGGCUUGCAGUCCCUCAUCGACGCAGCUACCGCAGCCCUCGCCCACCUGGGGCUGCAGAUCAACGCCCGGAAGUGUUUCACCCUCGCCUUAGUCGCGUCAGGGCGCGAGAAGAAGGUGAAGGUGGACAGCAAUGUCACCUUCACAGCAGGCAAUACCACCAUGCCUGCCCUGCGUGUGGGUGAAACCUUCCGGUACCUGGGGCUGCAAUUUUCCACGGCGGGUCGCUGUGUCUUCAAUCCACGUAGCCACCUGGUGGAGCAGCUUGACGUCAUCUCCCGAGCUCCGCUGAAGCCGCAACAGCGCCUCCACGCUCUCACCAACGUACUUCUCCCUGGCCUGUACCACGGGCUGGCCCUCAGCCGCACCCGGGUGGGUGCAUUGAAGUCGGCCGACGUUACCAUCCGGGCCGCCGUCAGGAGAUGGUUCCGCCUUCCGGCGGACACCCCCCUGGGAUACUUCCACGCUCCUGUUGCCCAGGGGGGCCUCGGCAUUCCAUCUUGCCGAUGGAUGGGUCCGACCCUCCGUCGGUCCCGUCUCCUGGCGCUGAAGAAGAUAGGGCCAGCCUGCGACGGUGCAGGCAUGGAUGAGGUGCAGCGUGAGAUCGAGGUGCUGGAGCGCCACCUAAUGUGGGAGGGCCACCUCCUCAAAUCGUCAACGCAGGUUGGGGAAAUGUGGGCGGCGCGCCUACACAUCGCCAUUGACGGUGCGGCACUGUCAUCUUCUGCCGCCGUCAGUGGCCAACAUCAGUGGGUCGCCGACACCAGUCGCCUGCUAUCUGGGCGUGAAUACAUCGACGCCCUCCGCGCCCGCAUCAACGCCUUCCCUACGAAGGCACGGCGCAGUCGCGGGCGGGAGGCGGACACCAGAUGCCGCGCGGGGUGCCAGGCCGUGGAGACCGCCAACCACGUACUUCAGGCUUGCUUUAGGACGCACGGGUCCCGGGUCAAGCGCCAUGACGCUGUAGUGCGUUAUGUCGCCCGUGGACUCGCGCAGAGGGGCUUCAAUGUCUCUGUGGAGCCCCACCUCCGAACACCUGAGGGCAUCCGCAAGCCUGACGUGGUGGCGGUCAAAGACGGCAUCGCCCGCGUGGUCGACGCCCAGAUAGUCGGAGACCACCUCCG